GCGCCUGUAGCUCAAUUGGAUAGAGCACCUCCGUCCUAAGGAGGGGGUUGGGAGUUCAAUUCUCCCCGGGCGCA
rnacentral:tRNA from 1 species